GAAUGAAACAUUGAAUUUGCCAACAACUAACAGUACGAAAUAGAAAAUGGAGAAGUUUAGAAUCACAGUAUGAAAUUAUCCUACAAAAGUUACACCUCUACAUACAGUUGCUAGCUAACAACUUUGUUUUUGUGAUGAUGAUGUGUUUGAUGCAUUCUUUUCACUAUAAACAGGUAGUUAGUAGAGUUUGAGAAGUUUUACAAGUGACUUGGAGAAUGCCUUCUGUAAUAAAGUAUGUGAAGUAGCUAAAGGAGAAUUCUAUGGACUAAGAUUCUUGCUAGCUUCUUGAAGCUAAUAAACUUGAGCAUUGCGCAAGCUAAGCGAUGUCAAUUAUGUUGGAUUAGUGUGGCCCGGCCUUCCCCUAGCUUGUUGCUUUUGCUAAGCAGAUUCAGUACUGGCAAGUUGAAAUGGGAAACUGCAUUUUUGAGGUUAGAAGCUACAGCGUAUGAUCCAUUCUCAACUGUACUAUUUCUUUUCCAUUCUAUAUGGAUGCUAACUUUCUUUACAAACUUGUUACUAUGAAUGUAAGAUGCUAUUGCAGACUA